AUUGAACGCUGGCGGCAUGCCUUACACAUGCAAGUCGAACGGCAGCGCGGGAGCAAUCCUGGCGGCGAGUGGCGAACGGGUGAGUAAUACAUCGGAACGUGCCCAAUCGUGGGGGAUAACGCAGCGAAAGCUGUGCUAAUACCGCAUACGAUCUACGGAUGAAAGCAGGGGAUCGCAAGACCUUGCGCGAAUGGAGCGGCCGAUGGCAGAUUAGGUAGUUGGUGAGGUAAAGGCUCACCAAGCCUUCGAUCUGUAGCUGGUUUGAUAGGACGACCGGCCACACGGGAACUGAGACACGGCCCAGCCUCCUACGGGAGGCAGCAGUGGGGAAUUUUGGACAAUGGGCGAAAGCCUGAUCCAGCCAUGCCGCGUGCAGGAUGAAGGCCUUCGGGUUGUAAACUGCUUUUGUACGGAACGAAACGGUCUUUUCUAAUAAAGAAGGCUAAUGACGGUACCGUAAGAAUAAGCACCGGCUAACUACGUG
rnacentral:rRNA from 1 species